rnacentral:rRNA from 1 species
CCAAUAGCGUAUAUUGAAGUUGUUGCAGUUAAAAAGCUCGUAGUUGAAUUUCGGGAUCAAUACGUCGGUCGUGCUUUCGGGUACGUACUGGCGUCAUUGGUUUCUCCUUUCUGACGAACCAUGAUGUCAUUAAUUUGGUGUUAUGGGGAGUUAGGACUGUUACUUUGAAAAAAUUAGAGUGUUUAAAGCAGGCAUUAGCUUGAAUACAUUAGCAUGGAAUAAUGAAAUAGGACGUUCGAUCCUAUUUUGUUGGUUUCUAGGAUCAACGUAAUGAUUAAUAGGGAUAGUUGGGGGCAUUAGUAUUCAAUUGUCAGAGGUGAAAUUCUUGGAUUUAUUGAAGACUAACUACUGCGAAAGCAUUUGCCAAGGAUGUUUUCAUUAAUCAAGAACGAAAGUUAGGGGAUCGAAGACGAUCAGAUACCGUCGUAGUCUUAACCAUAAACUAUGCCGACUAGGGAUCGGAUGAUGUUAAUUUUUUAAUGACUCAUUCGGCGCCUUACG